CUCCCCCCAAAAAAAUCAUGUGUUGCUCUCCCUCUCUCGCAGUGUUACCAAAAAAAAGUCUUGCAGUGUUGCCCCACCCCCCAAAAAAUCAUAUAGUGUUGCUCUCCCUCUUUCGCAGUGUUGCCAAAAAAGUCUUGCAGUGUUGCCCUCCCCCCAAAAUCAUGUAGUGUUGUUCCUACUCUCUUCAAGUGUUCCCAUAAAAAGUCAGUCUAGUGUUGCGUGUAGGCGGGACAAGUGACAAUCAUGCUGAGUGUUGCAGGCGGGGACUAAAGGUGUGUUGCAGCCUUCCCCGUGUGUUGUAAAGGUGUUAUGGGCAGUACCGCGGUGUUGACGGCAGUGUUACGACGUGGAAAGUGUUCUAUAGCCUGGGUUAGUGUUGCCGUGUGUUGCGGGUGGAGGGCAGUUUUACAAGGCGUUAGAAAAAAAGGAUUAUGUGUUGCGGGCCUCAAAAAUGUGUUGCUAGUUAUUACAAUGAUAAAAAAAUGAAGCAAUAGGUGUUGCUAGUGUGUUGCAGGCUUAUGAAAUGUGUUGGAAGGCGUUAAAUGAAAUAAAUAAUGCGAUAAUAGGUGUUGCUAGUGUGUUGCGGGCUAAUAAAAUGUGUUGCAAGGCGUUAAGUGAAUUAAAUAAUGCGAUGAUAGGUGUUGCUAGUGUGUUGCGGGCUAAUAAAAUGUGUUGCAAGGCGUUAAAUGAAAUAAAUAAUGCGAUGAUAGGUGUUGCUAGUGUGUUGCGGGCUAAUAAAAUGUGUUGCAAGGCGUUAAAUGAAAUAAAUAAUGCGAUGAUAGGUGUUGCUAGUGUGUUGCCGGACAAAGAUAUGUGUUGCAAGGCGUUAAGUAGAUAAAAAAAUGCAUGGAUGAAAUGUUGAUUGUGUGUUGCAGUGUUAGAUAAUAUGCUGAAAGGGGUUAAAGGAAUAUAAAUAAUGCGAUAAUAAGUGUUGCAGUGUUGCGGACCAGGAAAAAUAUAUUGCAAGUCGUUAAAUGAUUACAAAUAUGCGAUAAUUAGUGUUACGGUAUUUUCUAGUAGUUGGUUCGGUAAAAAUGUGUUGCAAUGUGUUAGAUGAAUUCAGAAAAGCAUUAAAAAGUGUUGCAGUGUGUUGCGGGCAGUAGAAAAGGAAGGGUGAUGAAGAUGAAAGUAAAUCCUAUGGUCUCAAGGUUUCUGAAAUGCGUGUGUGGUAUCUAGUUAUCUGAUUCGUUAUCUAGAAACCGAAAUAGUCAUCUAACUUCAUAUCAGAAAGAGAAAAUGACAAAAAAAGGCCGCUGGUGAUUGUUGUAAAGAAGAAACCGUGUACCAAGCGUUCUCAUGGUAUCUAAAAUGCGUGUGUGGUAUCUAGUUUUCUAAUUCGUUAUCUAGAAACCCAAAUAGUCAAUCUCUAACUUCACAAUAGAAAGAGAAUUGCGGUAGGGAAGAAACCAUGUACCAAGCAUUCUCAAGGUUUCUAAAAUGCGUGUGUGGUUUCUAGGUUCUCUACUCGUUAUUUAGAAACCCAAAUAGUCAAUCUCUAACUUCACAAUAGAAAGAGAAUCGUGAUAGGGAAGAAACCAUGUACCAAGCAUUCUCAAGGUUUCUAAAAUGCGUGUGUGGUUUCUGGUUCUCUAUCCGUCAACUAGAAACCCAAAUAGUCAUCUAACUUAAUAUCAGAAAGAGAAAAUGGAAAUAAAAAGGCCAGUGAUGAUUGUGGUAAGGAAGAAACCAUGUCCAAACCGUUCUCAAGGUAUCUAAAAUGCGUGUGUGUGUGAGCUCCCGUUCUCAAUUCGUUAUCUAGAAACCCAAAUAGUCAAUCUCUAACUUCAUAAUAGAAAAGAGAAUCGUGGAAGGGAAUAAACCAAGUACCAAGCAUUCUCAAGGUUUCUAAAAUGCGUGUGUGGUUUCUGGUUCUCUAUCCGUCAACUAGAAACCCAAAUAGUCAUCGAACUUCAUAUCAGAAAGAGAAGAUGAAAAUAAAAAGGCCAGUGGUGAUUGUGGUAAGGAAGAAACCGUGUCCAAAGCGUUCUCAAGGUUUCUAAAAUGCGUGUGUGGUUUCUAGGUUCUCUACUCGUUAUCUAGAAACCCAACUAGUCAAUCUCUAACUUCACAAUAGAAAGAGAAUCGUGGUAGGGAAGAAACCAAGUACAAAGCGUUCUCAAGGUUUCUAAAAUGCGUGUGUGUGUGUGUGAGUUCCCGUUCUCAAAUCUCUAAGCAAAACUCCAAACAACACUCCAUCACGAAUCCGGGAGAUCACGUGAGCAACACCACAACACAGCCAGUCUAGACCCUAACUUAGUGGACUGGAACCUGUGUUGGGGCGAGGGUAGUGGUGUUGCUGGCCGCUUAAGUGACGAGGGAGCCUAAUUGUGUGGAGCCAGGCACGGAGGAGGAGGAGGAGGAAGAAGAGGAGGAGGAGGAGGAGGAGGAGGGAGAGAAGUUAGGUAGGGAAGCAUAGAGGGUUUAAAGGGAUUAGAGAAAGAGGGGCGUUCGUGUGUGUGUGUGUGUGUGUGUGUGUGUGUGUGUGUGUGUGUUUCAUUUACUUAUGCAUGUGUUACUGUGUGU